rnacentral:lncRNA from 1 species
UCAGAUCUGCCACCUCAAUUAAUGAGGAAGAUCUGAUAGCCCUCAUUUUUUUCUAUUUUCAUUUUUUAUUCUGAUUUUUCAUUUUAUCCAUUUAUUUGGUUUAAUUCAUAUAAAAAUUUCAUUUUUAAUCCAAAAAAUAUGGGACUUUCACCAAAAAUCUUUAAAUAUUUUCAUAUUCCAUAUUUUGAAUUACAAUUAUUUUUUGGAUUAAUUCUGAUAUUUUUCACGAAUUAAAUGAUUUUUGAC